UAUGAAACAGCUCAACAAAGUUUUUAU
rnacentral:sRNA from 1 species